AUUGACAUUAAUUAAGACAGAUUUGGCAACUUGACCAUUUGUUUUACAAUGGCAGAAAAUUUACAAAAAAGGCCAUCCAAAGGCAUUUUAAAAAAUUCUAGUAGUUUUGAUAAACAAGAUUUGCAGCCUAAUGCAAAAAAAGCCAAAGAAACGAAAUGGGACGAAAUGAAUAUAAUAGCAACUCUUCAUCCUCCGGGAAAAGAUUAUGGUCACAUGAAAAUAGCAGAACCUAAAACGCCAUACAAUUAUGCUGAAAUGGAUGAUAUUGAUGGUUUAGAUGCAAAAGACCUAGCAGAAAAAAUCAAAAUAGGAGCAGAUAAACCACCCAAAGCAAUGCUGGUAGAGUCCGAUGACUCUGAUGAUGAAGAACUGACUGAAGAGGAAAAAGAACGAAAGAGAGAAUUUGAAAUGAAACGAAAAAAACAUUAUAACGAAUUUCACGCAUUACAAUUGGCAAAAAAAUUAUUAGAAGAGGAGGAAGAUGAUGAAGACGAGGGUGAAAGUGGUGCUCAUUCUAGUAAUAAAUCAGAUUAAAACGAAAAUACAUUCGUAGAUUUCCCAUUGUUGUGAUGAAACUUUCAAAGACAGAGCUGUAUAUACUCUGCUCUCAUCAGAAAAUUGUAUUGGGUUUGAUUCCGACAUGAAGCAGAUAUCUGUCUCUCAACAAUUGAACUAACCAUGCUGUCAGAGAAGUGGCGCGAGGAUUUAGUAACAAACUUGCACAUAUCAGUUGAUUAUUGGCUUAUAGGUUGUAUGUGUUUCAAUAAAAUGAAAAUGAAAUGAA